rnacentral:lncRNA from 1 species
AUGAUCACUAAUUCAAACCACAGGGACGAAAACAGUAAUUAACUCUUAAAAUUUAGAACUCCACAGUUUAUACUUGACAAUUAAGAAUAUGUCACUCGGUCCCUUACCUGCAUACGGGUCACAACUACCCAUAUAGGAUUUGUCAGCAGCACAUUGACACACCUAAAAAAACAAGUCAAGACAACUGCUUAACAUCACAUACAACUAUACAGAUCAAUAUCUCACCAGUUGUAUAGAUUAAUCAUCCAAGAAAAUUUGGAUGGAAAAAAAUAACAGAAUACAUGAGGAAUUUUUGUUCAAGUUAACUCUUAUCUUUAUUAGCGGGCAAGAAUAGAAUGGAAGGAAAGUGGGAAACUGGUGUUAACUUGGUUCAUAGAUGGAAAGCAUUUUAAAAUACAAGUUCGUCAUAGGUUUCUUACACUCCAAGCAACACAAAUUACAAACUCGAUAAUAGUACGAAGAAAGUACCCAGACAUAGCAGCCACCAUGAGUGAUGAAAGCAUACCGACUGAUCCAUCUCCAGAUCCUUCCUUCUUAAGUUUAAGUGCAGCUGCUUCAGCCUUGCUCCUGAAUAUUUGAUAGAAAUAAUAGUAAACACCCUGUAGCAUACAAAUAGGAUGAUAAGAAUCAGGCAUUUAGGGACUAAAUGUGUCUUCAAUCUUUAUACUUAUAACAAGAUUUUAACGAGUUAUUUACUCACUUAGUUUACCUACAAGGCUACAAAUUUAGUAACUUCAACGAGAUGCAUGUGACAGCAAAAUCAAGCAGUCACAUAGGCGAACAGUGAUCAUAUGGUAUACUGUAUACAUUGCCUAACGUAUUUGGUUAAUGUUCUUAAUCAUGUUUAAAUUUGAAACAAGUUAUCACAUACCCAUGUGGGAAGAGCUUAUUAGAACUAUAAAAGGCUGCACGAUGUUUGCUUCUUAUGGAGGGAGCGGCCGACCCCCCGAACUUUUUGCUCAGUAGUGGAGAGUAUGUAGUUUUCGUAUAGAAAUUUUUGGGUAUAUACGUUUUCGACCCCCCGGUCCCCCCGGUUUUAUAGACAUUUUUAGGUCCAGUGACUUCCGUCUCCCCGGUCGGAAAUCUCAAGCUUCGCCACUGCUAAUGUAUUGUCUUAUAAAUGUCACAUUGGCUAUACUACCAAGUGUUUCUUGGAAUUUAAAUUGUAGU